GACGAACGCUGGCGGCGUGCUUAACACAUGCAAGUCGAGCGGUAAGGCCCUUCGGGGUACACGAGCGGCGAACGGGUGAGUAACACGUGAGUAAUCUGCCCAUCACUUCGGGAUAACUCCGGGAAACCGGUGCUAAUACCGAAUAUGACCACUUCAGGCAUCUGAUGGUGGUGGAAAGUUCCGGCGGUGAUGGAUGAGCUCGCGGCCUAUCAGCUUGUUGGUGGGGUAGUGGCCUACCAAGGCUUCGACGGGUAGCCGGCCUGAGAGGGUGACCGGCCACACGGGGACUGAGACACGGCCCAGACUCCUACGGAGGCAGCAGUGGGGAAUAUUGGACAAUGGGCGAAAGCCUGAUCCAGCAACGCCGCGUGAGGGAUGACGGCCUUCGGGUUGUAAACCUCUUUCAGCAGGGACGAAGCGCAAGUGACGGUACCUGCAGAAGAAGCACCGGCCAACUACGUG
rnacentral:rRNA from 1 species